rnacentral:rRNA from 1 species
ACGCUCACACCUACGGGAGCAGCAGUCGGGAAUAUUGCGCAAUGGAGGAAACUCUGACGCAGUGACGCCGCGUGCAGGAAGAAGGUUUUCGGAUUGUAAACUGCUUUAGACAGGGAAGAAAGAAAUGACAGUACCUGUAGAAUAAGCUCCGGCUAACUACGUGCCAGCAGCCGCGGUAAUCUGAGCGGGCUGGCAAGGC